rnacentral:rRNA from 1 species
CCCUAAUACAUGCAAGUCGAGCGAAUGGUUGAGAGCUUGCUCUCAAGAAGUUAGCGGCGGACGGGUGAGUAACACGUGGGUAACCUGCCCAUAAGACUGGGAUAACUCCGGGAAACCGGGGCUAAUACCGGAUAACAUUUUGAACUGCAUGGUUCGAAAUUGAAAGGCGGCUUCGGCUGUCACUUAUGGAUGGACCCGCGUCGCAUUAGCUAGUUGGUGAGGUAACGGCUCACCAAGGCAACGAUGCGUAGCCGACCUGAGAGGGUGAUCGGCCACACUGGGACUGAGACACGGCCCAGACUCCUACGGGAGGCAGCAGUAGGGAAUCUUCCGCAAUGGACGAAAGUCUGACGGAGCAACGCCGCGUGAGUGAUGAAGGCUUUCGGGUCGUAAAACUCUGUUGUUAGGGAAGAACAAGUGCUAGUUGAAUAAGCUGGCACCUUGACGGUACCUAACCAGAAAGCCACGGCUAACUACGUGCCAGCAGCCGCGGUAAUACGUAGGUGGCAAGCGUUAUCCGGAAGUAUUGGGCGUAAAGCGCGCGCAGGUGGUUUCUUAAGUCUGAUGUGAAAGCCCACGGCUCAACCGUGGAGGGUCAUUGGAAACUGGGAGACUUGAGUGCAAAAAGAGGAAAGUGGAAUUCCAUGUGUAGCGGUGAAAUGCGUAGAGAUAUGGAGGAACACCAGUGGCGAAGGCGACUUUCUGGUCUGUAAACUGACACUGAGGCGCGAAAGCGUGGGGGAGCAAACAGGAUUAGAUACCCCUGGGUAAGUCCCACGCCCGUAAACGAUGAGUGCUAAGUGUUUAGAGGGGUUUUCCGGCCCCUUUAGGUGCUGAAAGUUUAACGCCAUUUAAGGCAACCUCCCGCCCUUGGGGA